rnacentral:rRNA from 1 species
GACGAACGCUGGCGGCGUGCCUAAUACAUGCAAGUAGAACGCUGAAGAGAGGAGCUUACUCUUCUUGGAUGAGUUGCGAACGGGUGAGUAACGCGUAGGUAACCUGCCUUGUAGCGGGGGAUAACUAUUGGAAACGAUAGCUAAUACCGCAUAACAAUGGAUGACACAUGUCAUUUAUUUGAAAGGGGCAAUUGCUCCACUACAAGAUGGACCUGCGUUGUAUUAGCUAGUAGGUGAGGUAAUGGCUCACCUAGGCGACGAUACAUAGCCGACCUGAGAGGGGGAUCGGCCACACUGGGAAUGAGACACGGCCCAGAAUCCUACGGGAGGCAGCAGUAGGGAAUCUUCGGCAAUGGGGGCAACCUUGACCGAGCAACGCCGCGUGAGUGAAGAAGGUUUUCGGAUCGUAAAGCUCUGUUGUAAGGGAAGAAAGGGUGUGAGAGUGGAAAGUUCACACUGUGACGGUAGCUUACCAGAAAGGGACGGCUAACUACGUG